AGAACGAACGUUGAUGGCGUGCCUCAUACAUGCAAGUCGAGCGGGUAGCAAUACCAGCGGCGGACGGGUGAGUAACACGUAAGGAAUCUGCCCUGAAGCGGGGAAUAACUAUCCCAACGGAUAGCUAAUACCGCAUAAUGAUGGAGACGGCAUCGUCUCUUCUCAAAAGGCUUCGGCCACUUCAGGAUGACCUUGCGGCCCAUUAGCUUGUUGGCGGGUAACGGCCCACCAAGGCUACGAUGGGUA
rnacentral:rRNA from 1 species